rnacentral:rRNA from 1 species
GAGUUUGAUCAUGGCUCAGGAUUAACGCUGGCGGCAUGCCUAAUACAUGCAAGUCGAACGGAGUAGCAAUACUUAGUGGCGAACGGGUGAGUAACACGUAUCUAAUCUACCAUUUAGUGGGGAAUAACUGUUGGAAACGACAGCUAAUACCGCAUAAUAUUGCUGGAUAAUUUCCAGUAAUGAAAGGAGCUUUCAAGCUCCGCUGAUUGAUGAGGAUGCGGCGCAUUAGCUAGUUGGUAGGGUAAUGGCCUACCAAGGCAAUGAUGCGUAGCCGAUCUGAGAGGAUGAACGGCCACAUUGGGACUGAGACACGGCCCAAACUUCUACGGAAGGCAGCAGUAGGGAAUUUUUCACAAUGGGCGAAAGCCUGAUGGAGCAAUGCCGCGUGACUGAUGAAGGUCUUCGGAUUGUAAAGGUCUGUUGUAAGGGAAGAAAAGGUAAAACAGGAAAUGGUUUUAUCUAUGACGGUACCUUACCAGAAAGCCACGGCUAACUAUGUGCCAGCAGCCGCGGUAAUACAUAGGUGGCAAGCGUUAUCCGGAUUUAUUGGGCGUAAAGGGUGCGUAGACGGUUUUGCAAGUCUGAGGUUAAAUUUAGGAGCUCAACUCCUAAUCGCCUUGGAAACUACAAGACUAGAGUAUAGGAGAGGUUAGUGGAAUUCCAUGUGUAGCGGUGGAAUGUGUAGAUAUAUGGAGGAAACACCAGUGGCGAAAGGC